AUGCGAUAAGUAAUGUGAAUUGCAGAAUUCAGUGAAUCAUCGAAUCUUUGAACGCACCUUGCGCUCCUUGGUAUUCCUUGGAGCAUGCCUGUUUGAGUAUCAUGAAAUCUUCAAAGUAAUAUCUUUUGUUAAUUCAAUUGGUUUUGCUUUGGUAUUGGAGGUCUAUUGCAGCUUCACACCUGCUCCUCUUUGUUCAUUAGCUGGAUCUCAGUGUUAUGCUUGGUUCCACUCAGCGUGAUAAGUUAUCUAUCGCUGAGGACACUUUUUCUACUCUGUAAAAAGAGUUUGGGAGGGGUGGCCAAGGUAAAUGCAGAUGAACCGCUUCUAAUAGUCCAUUGACUUGGACAAUCAAUAUUUAUGAUCUGAUCUCAAAUCAGGUAGGACUACCCGCUGAACUUAA
rnacentral:misc_RNA from 1 species